rnacentral:rRNA from 1 species
GAUGAACGCUAGCGGCAGGCUUAAUACAUGCAAGUCGAGGGGCAGCGCGGGUAGCAAUACCUGGCGGCGACCGGCAAACGGGUGCGGAACACGUACGCAACCUUCCCAUAACUGGUGAAUAGCCCUCCGACAGGAGGAUUAAUACACCGUAACAUAACGAAGAGGCAUCUUUUUGUUAUUAUAGUAGCAAUACGGUUUUGGAUGGGCGUGCGCCGGAUUCGGUGGUUGGCGGGGUAACGGCCCACCAAGCCUGCGAUCAGUAACUGGUGGGAGAGCACGACCAGUCAAACGGGCACUGAGACACGGGCCCGACUCCUACGGGAGGCAGCAGUAAGGAAUAUUGGUCAAUGGACGAAAGUCUGAACCAGCCAUGCCGCGUGAAGGAUUAAGGCCCUCUGGGUUGUAAACUUCUUUUAUCUGGGACGAAAAAAGGGCAUUCUUGCUCACUUGACGGUACCAGAGGAAUAAGCACCGGCUCACUCCGUGCCAGCCGCCGCCGUAA